GCCCCUCGUGUGGCAUGGACUGGGUCCAACUUAAUGAGGGGCUCCAGCCUCAUGUCUUCGGUGCCAGUGGUUGCCCAUCUGCCGGUUCUAUCCUCACUCGUUGGGACAAAA